rnacentral:rRNA from 1 species
GUAGGUGGCAAGCGUUGUCCGGAAUUAUUGGGCGUAAAGCGCGCGCAGGCGGUUCUUUAAGUCUGAUGUGAAAGCCCACGGCUCAACCGUGGAGGGUCAUUGGAAACUGGAGAACUUGAGUACAGAAGAGGAAAGCGGAAUUCCACGUGUAGCGGUGAAAUGCGUAGAGAUGUGGAGGAACACCAGUGGCGAAGGCGGCUUUCUGGUCUGUAACUGACGCUGAGGCGCGAAAGCGUGGGGGAGCAAACAGGAUUAGAUACCCUGGUAGUCCACGCCGUAAACGAUGAGUGCUAAGUGUUAGGGGGUUUCCGCCCCUUAGUGCUGCAGCUAACGCAUUAAGCACUCCCGCCUGGGAGUACGGCCGCAAGGCUG